UACGUAGGGGGCAAGCGUUGUCCGGAAUCAUUGGGCGUAAAGCGCGCGUAGGCGGCCCGGUAAGUCCGCUGUAAAAGUCAAAGGCUCAACCUUUGAAUGCCGGUGGAUACUGUCGGGCUCGAGUCCGGAAGAGGCGAGUGGAAUUCCUGGUGUAGCGGUGGAAUGCGCAGAUAUCAGGAGGAACACCGAUAGCGAAGGCAGCCCCCUGGGCUAACACUGACGCUCAGGCACGAAAGCGUGGGGAGCAAACAGG
rnacentral:rRNA from 1 species